GUUUGAUCCUGGCUCAGAUUGAACGCUAGGCGGCGUGCUUAACACAUGCAAGUCGAGCGGUAACGCGGGGGCAACCCUGGCGACGAGCGGCGAACGGGUGCGUAAUGCAUGGGAAUCUGCCUGAUAGUGGGGAAUAACCCGGGGAAACUCGGGCUAAUGCCGCAUACGACCUACGGGUGAAAGCGGGGGACCGUAAGGCCUCGCGCUAUCGGAUGAGCCCAUGUCGGAUUAGCUAGUUGGUAGGGUAACGGCCUACCAAGGCUACGAUCCGUAGCUGGUCUGAGAGGACGGCCAGCCACACUGGGACUGAGACACGGCCCAGACUCCUACGGGAGGCAGCAGUGGGGAAUAUUGGACAAUGGGGAAACCCUGAUCCAGCGACGCCGCGUGUGUGAAGAAGGCCUGC
rnacentral:rRNA from 1 species